GAGAGCCGUGUCUCUCUACAGUGAGAGGUUUUUGUACGGCGGCUCAAUGACUUUGUAUCACUGUGGUUGACUUUUGGUGGAGGAACCAGACUGAAUGUUAACUUGGGUCGAGCCGUCCCCACCCUGACGGUGCUGCCCCCCUCCAGUGAGGAGCUGCUGAAGGGGAAGGCCACGCUCAUGUGCCUGGCCAACAAGGGCUUCCCCUCAGACUGGAGUCUGGCCUGGAAGGUGGACGGCAGCAGCAGCAGCAGCAGCAGCAGCUGGGAGGAGAGCAGGAGCCCCGGGGUGCUGGAGAAGGACGGCAAAUACAGCUGGAGCAGCACCCUGAGGCUCCCUGCAGACCAGUGGGAGAAGGUGGGCUCUGUGACCUGUGAGGCCACCCAGGGCUCCCAGACUCCACUCUCAGAGACACUGAGGAGAGACCAGUGUUCCCAGUCCUGACCU